rnacentral:rRNA from 1 species
UGCAGUCGAACGAACCUUCGGGUUAGUGGCGGACGGGUGAGUAACACGUGGGCAACCUGCCCUGCAGACUGGGAUAACUUCGGGAAACCGGAGCUAAUACCGGAUAACACCGAAAACCGCAUGGUUUUCGGUUGAAAGGCGGCUUUUAGCUGUCACUGCAGGAUGGGCCCGCGGCGCAUUAGCUAGUUGGUGAGGUAACGGCUCACCAAGGCGACGAUGCGCAGCCGACCUGAGAGGGUGACCGGCCACACUGGGACUGAGACACGGCCCAGACUCCUACGGGAGGCAGCAGUAGGGAAUCUUCCACAAUGGACGAAAGUCUGAUGGAGCAACGCCGCGUGAGUGAUGAAGGUUUUCGGAUCGUAAAACUCUGUUGUAAGGGAAGAACACGUACGAGAGGAAAUGCUCGUACCUUGACGGUACCUUACGAGGAAGCCACGGCUAACUACGUGCCAGCAGCCGCGGUAAU